rnacentral:rRNA from 1 species
UGAACGCUGGCGGCAUGGCUAAAACAUGCAAGUCGAACGGACCCGCAAGGGUUAGUGGCGGAAGGGUGAGUAAAAGUAUCGAACGUACCCCGAGGUGGGGGAUAGGCACGGGAAACUGUGCGUAAUACCCCAUGAUCUCGAGAGAGCAAAGCAGCAAUGCGCCUUGGGAGCGGCGAUAUACCUAUCAGGUCGUUGGCGGGGUAAUGGCCCACCAAGCCGAAGACGGGUAGCCGGUGUGAGAGCACGGCCGGCCACAUCGAGACUGAGACACUGCUCGGACUCCUACGGGAGGCUGCAGUAACGAAUAUUCCGCAAUGCGCGAAAGCGUGACGGAGCAAUGCCGCGUGCAGGAUGAAGCGGUUUCGCCGUGUAAACUGCUGUCAGGGGCGAGAAACACUGAUCAGCCCCAGAGGAAGGACCGGCUAAACUCGUGCCAGCAGCCGCGGUAAGACGAGUGGUCCUAGCGUUAGUCGGAAUCACUGGGCUUAAAGGGUGCGUAGGCGGGCCAGUAAGUGCCUUGUGAAAGCCCCCGGCUCAACCGGGGAACCGCAGGGCAUACUGCUGGUCUUGAGGAAGCUAGAGGCCGGUGGAACGAUAGGUGGAGCGGUGGAAUGCGUA